rnacentral:rRNA from 1 species
UACGAAGGUGGCAAGCGUUACUCGGAAUUACCAGGCGUAAAGGGCAGGUAGGUGGUUUGGUUAGUCUGUUGUGAAAGCUCCUGGCUUAACUGGGAGAGGUCAACGGAUACUGCCGAACUUGAGUAUAGGAGAGGUUACUGGAAUUCCCGGUGUAGCGGUGAAAUGCGCAGAGAUCGGGAGGAACACCAAUGGCGAAAGCAGGUAACUGGACUAUUACUGACACUCAGCUGCGAAAGCUAGGGGAGCAAACAGG